rnacentral:misc_RNA from 1 species
GAUGAAGAACGUAGCGAAACGCGAUACGUAAUGUGAAUUGCAGAAUUCAGUGAAUCAUCGAAUCUUUGAACGCACAUUGCGCCCGCCAGUAUUCUGGCGGGCAUGCCUGUUCGAGCGUCAUUACAACCCUCAGGCCCCCGGGCCUGGCGUUGGGGAUCGGCGGAGCCCCCCGUGGGCACACGCCGUCCCCCAAAUGCAGUGGCGGUCCCGCCGCAGCUUCCAUCGCGUAGUAGCUAACACCUCGCGACUGGAGAGCGGCGCGGCCACGCCGUAAAACACCCAACUCUUCUGAAGUUGACCUCGAAUCAGGUAGGAAUACCCGCUGAACUUAAGCAUAUCAAUAAGCGGAGGA